UUGUGAUUUUAGAGAAUUUGUCCGUCGCCAGCUUCGAUUUGAUGUAAUGCACAGCAGCUGCCACGCGGGUAUCUGUUAAUGCUAUGAAAGCAGAGGAGAAUCCAUCAUUGGAAAACCAUAAGCUAGCUAGUUUGAAACUAAAAACAACAAAUUUGUAGUCUUUACUCCAGUAGAAAAUGUCAGCAUAACAGCUAGUUACAGAGUUUUCUGUUUCGGACUUCCCUUCAUGGGUGUCCUACAAAGUCGUAAUCUUUUGAAGAAUUUGGGAAAACUUGUACCAAACCUAGUUGUUGCGCAGCAGAGUGCAAAGGUUGGCUAAUCCUGCUUCUGGGUCAACAAAUGAGCAGCAUCUUCUAAUUUCUUCAGAGCAUAACAUUCAUCAAGGAGUGAAGAACAAUAAAUAAAGGAGAAAGGCUCAACAUAAAGAUCAAAACUUUAUCAACAUGUUGUGUUUACUCACACUGAUAAUGGACCAAGAGUUUGCAGUCCUUUGGUUGUUUAAGAUUCCAAUGCUCCUGGUGGAAGAAGAGGCAUCUACAAGCAAAAAGGAAGUCAAUAAAUGCAGAGAAGAGGAGCAAGUGUUUCUUCUUUCAGUUCAGUUUACAUGAUUUGGUAACACUGUUAGUACUGAUUCGUAGCUUGUUCAUUGCCCAUUUGAUGUUUGAUUCAGUAACAAUCUGCAGAAGUAAAUUUCAUAUAGUCAAAGAAGGCGUUCCAAACAAAAAAACAAUACAAACUGAGAGUGUUUAACACAAUUAAUGAACAGAUCCAUGUAAUUGUUGGUUAAAAAAAGUCGGCAUCAUGCAAUAAAAUCAUCAUAAUAUGAAAUUUGAGAGCAAUCACACCACAUGGAUUCCAAAAAUCAAACUCUGUUGCACUUUGGCAUUGGAAACUAGAACUACCAAAUCAGGAUCCAAGACUUCUGCACAAGUCAGAACGAACCCAUGCCAUUACAACUAAGACCAUUUGAUCUUUGAUUCAGCAGCAAGCAAAGGCACCUGUGGAGGCUGGCCGGCGGUCUUCUGUUUUUCCUUAC
rnacentral:lncRNA from 1 species